CAAAUUACCCAAUCCGACACGGGGAGGUAGUGACAAUAAAUACUGAUACGGGGCUCUUUUGGGUCUUGUAAUUGGAAUGAGUACAAUUGGAGGGCAAGUCUGGCGCCAGCAGCCGCGGUAAUUCCAGCUCCAAUAGCGUAUAUUAAAGUUGUUGCAGUUAAAAAGCUCGUAGUUGAACCUUGGGCCUGGCUGGCGGUCCGCUCACCGCGUGUGCUGGUCGCCUUAUGCCCUUCACUGGGUGUGUCGGGGAACCAGGACUUUUACUUUGAAAAAAUUAGAGUGUUCAAAGCAGGCCUUUGCUCGAAUACAUUAGCAUGGAA
rnacentral:rRNA from 1 species